rnacentral:rRNA from 1 species
GACGAACGCUGGCGGCGUGCUUAACACAUGCAAGUCGAACGGAAAGGCCCUGCUUUUGUGGGGUGCUCGAGUGGCGAACGGGUGAGUAACACGUGAGUAACCUGCCCUUGACUUUGGGAUAACUUCAGGAAACUGGGGCUAAUACCGGAUAGGAGCUCCUGCUGCAUGGUGGGGGUUGGAAAGUUUCGGCGGUUGGGGAUGGACUCGCGGCUUAUCAGCUUGUUGGUGGGGUAGUGGCUUACCAAGGCCUUGACGGGUAGCCGGCCUGAGAGGGUGACCGGCCACAUUGGGACUGAGAUACGGCCCAGACUCCUACGGGAGGCAGCAGUGGGGAGUAUUGCACAAUGGGCGGAAGCCUGAUGCAGCAACGCCGCGUGCGGGAUGACGGCCUUCGGGUUGUAAACCGCUUUCGCCUGUGACGAAGCGUGAGUGGCGGUAAUGGGUAAAGAAGCACCGGCUAACUACGUG